rnacentral:rRNA from 1 species
UACAGAGGUCUCAAGCGUUGUUCGGAUUCAUUGGGCGUAAAGGGUGCGUAGGCGGCGCGGUAAGUCGGGUGUGAAAUCCCAAGGCUCAACCUUGGGUCUGCAUUCGAUACUGGGUGGCUUGAGUCUGGUAGGGGGACCUGGAAUUCCUGGUGUAGCGGUGGAAUGCGCAGAUAUCAGGAGGAACACCAAUGGCGAAGGCAGCUCGCUGGGACGUGACUGACGCUGAGACGCGAAAGCGUGGGGAGCAAACAGG